rnacentral:rRNA from 1 species
UACGUAGGUGGCAAGCGUUGUCCGGAUUUACUGGGCGUAAAGAGCGCGCAGGCGGUCGUUCAAGUCGCGUGUGAAAGCCCCCGGCUCAACUGGGGAGGGUCACGCGAUACUGAUCGACUCGAAGGCAGGAGAGGGAAGUGGAAUUCCCGGUGUAGUGGUGAAAUGCGUAGAUAUCGGGAGGAACGCCCGUGGCGAAAGCGAGGUCCUGGACGCCUAACUGACGCUGAGACGCGAAAGCCAGGGGAGCGAAC